ensembl:lncRNA
CUCUCCCACUGCUUGUCAGAAGAAAGGACAGAAAGGAGCGGCGCGCGAGGCGGCGAAUCGGUCAGCAGACACGCGAUUCCCGCGCUUCCAGCAGCUCGCGCUGUGCAGAUAACGCGGAAAUGUCAACGGUUUGACAGGCUUCCGACGCGUUACUCCCUUUCAUCUCCGCCGUUGACAGCGCAGUUUAAAGCUCUUUUUUGUACUUGUAUCUAAAUUUGUGUUUUUGGAAUGAGAAAUCACUGAGCAGGAACGCAUGUUUUCAUGGGCUCGCGAAGGAGGGAAAAGAUGAAAAGCUGUUUUUACCUCACAAGACUCCCUGUGAUCUGAGAAAACAAAAGCAGAAGUUGUGCCCUUGUGUGUUUGUAGAUUGUAUUUUAUGGAAGGUCAUUAGACAACAGUGAUAUUUCACACACUCCGCCGCUGCAGGGCACACUCUGGUUCACGUGAAACCCUGCAAGAGGAAUGGGAAAAGCUAAGGAUGUCUCUAUGGAGAGAGCAGAA